rnacentral:rRNA from 1 species
GAUGAACGCUGGCGGCGUGCCUAAUACAUGCAAGUCGAGCGAACAGACGAGGAGCUUGCUCCUCUGACGUUAGCGGCGGACGGGUGAGUAACACGUGGAUAACCUACCUAUAAGACUGGGAUAACUUCGGGAAACCGGAGCUAAUACCGGAUAAUAUAUUGAACCGCAUGGUUCAAUAGUGAAAGACGGUUUUGCUGUCACUUAUAGAUGGAUCCGCGCCGCAUUAGCUAGUUGGUAAGGUAACGGCUUACCGAGGCAACGAUGCGUAGCCGACCUGAGAGGGUGAUCGGCCACACUGGACCUGAGACACGGUCCAGACUCCUACGGGAGGCAGCAGUAGGGAAUCUUCCGCAAUGGGCGAAAGCCUGACGGAGCAACGCCGCGUGAGUGAUGAAGGUCUUCGGAUCGUAAAACUCUGUUAUUAGGGAAGAACAAAUGUGUAAGUAACUAUGCACGUCUUGACGGUACCUAAUCAGAAAGCCACGGCUAACUACGUG